rnacentral:rRNA from 1 species
UACAGAGGGGCAAGCGUUAUUCGGAAUUAUUGGGCGUAAAGGGCGCGUAGGCGGCUUUCAAGUGACGGGUGAAUCCCUCGGCUUAACCGAGGAACUGCCUGUCAGACUGGAAGGCUUGAGACCGGGAGAGGUGAGUGGAAUUCCAGUGUAGCGGUGAAAUGCGUAGAUAUUGGGAGGACACCAGUGGCGAAGGCGGCUCACUGGACCUGAUCUGACGCUGAGGCGCGAAAGCCAGGGGAGCGAACGGG